rnacentral:rRNA from 1 species
UACGUAGGGUGCGAGCGUUAAUCGGAAUUACUGGGCGUAAAGCGUGCGCAGGCGGUUUUGUAAGCCAGAUGUGAAAUCCCCGGGCUUAACCUGGGAAUGGCAUUUGGGACUGCAAGGCUGGAGUGUGGCAGAGGAGACUGGAAUUCCUGGUGUAGCGGUGAAAUGCGCAGAUAUCAGGAAGAACACCCGUGGCGAAGGCGGCUCUCUGGGACGGUACUGACGCUGAGACGCGAAAGCGUGGGGAGCGAACAGG